UUUCACAAGUACAUCACGGGUGGGCCCCACAUUGAACGGUUGUGAUCAUUCCCCGCGAAAAAUUGCGAGGGGGCAAAAGGUAAAAAGCAGGAAGGUAUGGGCAAUUUACAGGCAUGCAGAAGACGGAGAAAAUGGGAGGAGGAGAAGAAGAAUGAAACCCUUCUCCUCUAUUUAUAACUUCUCUUUCCAAAGCAGCAUCAGAAGCAGAAGCAGAAGCAGAAGCAGCAGCUGAUUUUCAUGGGUUCUCUGCUCGGCAACUGGCCUUCCUACGAUCCCCAUAAUUUCAGCCAAUUACGGCCGUCGGAUCCUGCUCAUCCUUCCAAAAUAACACCUGCCACCUAUCAUCCUACGCAUAAUCGGACUGUUCCACCACCUAAUCAAGUAAUUUCGACAGAGGCAACAAAUAUUCUCUUGAGACAGUUCUAUCAGCGGGCCGAAGAGAAGUUGAGACCAAAGAGAGCUGCCUCGGAGCUUUUGAUACCAGAGCACGGAUGCAAGCAGCCGAGGGGUUCUUUUGCCGAUGUUUCCAACUGAGCCUCAUUGAUUUGAAAGACCGGGCUUUCUACAUUCUGUGUAUCCACUCCCGCCUGACGAAGUCUUGGGUCCUGCAGGAUUCUGUUGGUGGGACCAUGAUUUGGUAUCCAGACUGUUGAUUUGAUGGCCCCCCUCUGCCUGUUGGACUGCAGAUCUUGCAACAUUCAGGUACUUAUUUCAUGGUUUCUUCCCAAACUGCCCUUGGUAGGUCAUAAACUUGCAGAUUAUUUUA